rnacentral:rRNA from 1 species
UUAAAUUGCAUUUGAAUAUAUUGGAAACAGUAUAGUCGUAAGACAAAUGUGAAGGUGCUGCAUGGUUGUCGUCAGCUCGUGCCGUGAGGUGUCGGCUUAAGUGCCAUAACGAGCGCAACCCUUAUCUUUAGUUACUAACAGGUCAUGCUGAGGACUCUGGAGAGACUGCCGUCGUAAGAUGUGAGGAAGGUGGGGAUGACGUCAAAUCAGCACGGCCCUAUACGUCCGGGGCUACACUCGAAGUUACAAUGGGGG